rnacentral:lncRNA from 1 species
UCCGGUCUUCGAGUAUUCUGAAUUGCUAGUCUCCAAGGUAAACUCACUACCAUUGCCUUUUUUUUCCUCUAUAGUAGGUGUAAACCUAACUGUCUUUCACAUCCAACUAUGUGCAGGAUCAGAAGCCAUAUACAAUCCUAGGGCCAUCAUCAUAUGAAGAACUUUGUGGGGUCCUACCACUUGUCAACCAAACACCUUGUACAGUCCCAGAAUCUACCCGUGGGCGAAUGGCGAUGCAGCAAACAAUGAUGGGUGGCCUUAGUGUUAUGUUUCAAGCAAAUCCUGCACCCUGUACCAUCUCAACAGCGGCUCGACUAAGAUUGGAUGAGUACACAUGUAGGCAGUGUAACAUCAGGUUCAGAACACCACAAGCAUAUGGUGGCCACAUGAGCUACCACAGCAAAAUUAAUAAAAGGAUCCUACUUGGAUAAGCCAUCCUACAAUGGUAUUGCAGUAUUCUCCGGACACUUAAAGGCAGGAGGACAACACAAGGCACUGAUGAAUCUUGAGCCAGGCUGAAAGGCACGUCGUCGAUGUUAAUUUGACUGGUGCAUGAUGCGCAGUUGUGUCGUGCCCAAUUGUUAUCCUAUUUAUCAUAGUUUUUUUUGUUUUAGGGACCUAACGUCCCAAGUAGCUUGAACUCAUUGUCGAAUUGCAAUGAAAAUCUACCUAGUCUUUUUUUUCGUCAAACAAAUAAGAAUAAUCAAAUUGGUUUUUACUUUGCGAUGGAAUAUGAUUGUCAAUU